GACGGAGGAUGCAAGCGUUAUCCGGAAUGAUUGGGCGUAAAGCGUCCGCAGGUGGCAGUUCAAGUCUGCUGUCAAAGACCGGGGCUUAACUUCGGAAAGGCAGUGGAAACUGAACAGCUAGAGUAUGGUAGGGGCAGAGGGAAUUCCUGGUGUAGCGGUGAAAUGCGUAGAUAUCAGGAAGAACACCCGUGGCGAAGGCGGUUCUCUGGGACGGUACUGACGCUGAGACGCGAAAGCGUGGGGAGCGAACAGG
rnacentral:rRNA from 1 species